rnacentral:rRNA from 1 species
CAGUAGCCGCGGGAAAACGAAGGGUGCAAGCGUUACUCGGAAUUACUGGGCGUAAAGCGUGCGUAGGUGGUUGUUUAAGUCUGCUGUGAAAGCCCUGGGCUCAACCUGGGAAUUGCAGUGGAUACUGGGCGACUAGAGUAAGGUAGAGGAUAGUGGAAUUUCCGGUGUAGCAGUGAAAUGCGUAGAGAUCGGAAGGAACAUCUGUGGCGAAGGCGACUAUCUGGGCCAUUACUGACACUGAGGCACGAAAGCGUGGGGAGCAAACAGGAUUAGAUACCCCAGUAGUCCCUGUCUCUUAUAC